UACGUAGGGUGCAAGCGUUAUCCGGAAUUAUUGGGCGUAAAGAGCUCGUAGGCGGUUUGUCGCGUCUGCUGUGAAAUCCCGAGGCUCAACCUCGGGUCUGCAGUGGGUACGGGCAGACUAGAGUGUGGUAGGGGAGAUUGGAAUUCCUGGUGUAGCGGUGGAAUGCGCAGAUAUCAGGAGGAACACCGAUGGCGAAGGCAGAUCUCUGGGCCAUUACUGACGCUGAGGAG
rnacentral:rRNA from 1 species